GGAUGCAUACCUCAGUGGUAGAGUGCGUGCUUAGCAUGCAUGAGGUCCUGGGUUCAAUCCCCAGUACCUCCA
rnacentral:tRNA from 1 species